rnacentral:rRNA from 1 species
AUUGAACGCUGGCGGCAGGCCUAACACAUGCAAGUCGAGCGGAUGAAGGGAGCUUGCUCCUGGAUUCAGCGGCGGACGGGUGAGUAAUGCCUAGGAAUCUGCCUGGUAGUGGGGGAUAACGUCCGGAAACGGGCGCUAAUACCGCAUACGUCCUGAGGGAGAAAGUGGGGGAUCUUCGGACCUCACGCUAUCAGAUGAGCCUAGGUCGGAUUAGCUAGUUGGUGGGGUAAAGGCCUACCAAGGCGACGAUCCGUAACUGGUCUGAGAGGAUGAUCAGUCACACUGGGACUGAGACACGGUCCAGACUCCUACGGGAGGCAGCAGUGGGGAAUAUUGGACAAUGGGCGAAAGCCUGAUCCAGCCAUGCCGCGUGUGUGAAGAAGGUCUUCGGAUUGUAAAGCGCUUUAAGUUGGGAGGAAGGGCAGUAAGUUAAUACCUUGCUGUUUUGACGUUACCAACAGAAGAAGCACCGGCUAACUUCGUG